GUCUACGGCCAUGCCACCCUGAACAAGCCCAAUCCUGUCUGAUCUCGGAAGCUAAGCAGGGUUGGGCCUGGUUAAUCCUUGGAUGGGAGACCACCUAGGAAGACCAGGUGCUGUAGGCA
rnacentral:rRNA from 1 species